UGAGGGGUCGUCUAAUGGUAGGACAGCAGGUUCUGGCCCUGCCGGUCCAGGUUCGAGUCCUGGCCCCUCAGCCU
rnacentral:tRNA from 1 species